CUUCUUCGAUCUGCUGCGGGCAGAUGAAGUGGAUGUGGCAAUCGAUGCCGCCGGCGGUGACGAUCAUGCCUUCGCCGGCGAUGAUUUCGGUCGCGGCGCCGAUUGCCAUCGUCACGUUAGGUUGGAUGUCGGGAUUGCCGGCUUUGCCGAUCGCGGCGAUCCUGCCGCUCUUGAUCCCGAUAUCGGCUUUGACGAUACCCCAGUGAUCGAGGAUCACCGCGUUGGUAAUCACGGUAUCCAUCACGUCCCUGUGAUUGCGCUGCGACUGACCCAUGCCGUCGCGAAU
rnacentral:sRNA from 1 species